UACGAAGGGGGCUAGCGUUGCUCGGAAUCACUGGGCGUAAAGCGCACGUAGGCGGCGUUUUAAGUCAGGGGUGAAAUCCUGGAGCUCAACUCCAGAACUGCCUUCGAUACUGGCGAUCUUGAGUCCGGAAGAGGUGAGUGGAACUCCUAGUGUAGAGGUGGAAUUCGUAGAUAUUAGGAAGAACACCAGUGGCGAAGGCGGCUCACUGGUCCGGUACUGACGCUGAGGUGCGAAAGCGUGGGGAGCAAACAGG
rnacentral:rRNA from 1 species